UUGAUUGGGGCUUCAGAGCGGGUGCAGGACCCAUAACGAACGAUGUUUUGUGCAUGGUGUCGCGGCUCCUAAUCGAGUCGGGUUGCUUGAGACUGCAGCCCAAAGCGGGUGGUAAAUCUCACCCAAGACUAAAUAUUCGUACGAGACCGAUAGCGAACAAGUACCGCGAGGGAAAGUUGAAAAGAACUCUGAAGAGAGAGUUCAACAGGACGUGAAACCGUUGACAGGCAAACGGAUGGAGCUGACGGUGCAAUUUUGACCAAAAUCAGUCGUCGCUGGGUUCGUUGGCGAAUGAAUCUUUUGCAAACUUGUUUGUGUAGAUUAUCUUUCGAUUCGAAUCUACGCACGGUGCACUUUUGGUCGAUCAGCGUCACGAGCAACGUUCGCAAAUGUUUUGCUGCCGACAGUAAUGCUGUUUGUUGUUUUUAAAAGCAACGAACAAUAAACGCGGCUUGUGGAAGAGGUAAUUGUGAUGAAAAGUUUUGCUUUUGUCUCAAUUGCCGUGCCAUUGCCGCAUCUCUCGGAUGAAUGUUGUUGUUGACAAGAUGAAAAGCAUUGUUCUGCGUUCAAUUGUAAUGGGUCUGU
rnacentral:ncRNA from 1 species